rnacentral:rRNA from 1 species
AAUAGAUACCCUGGUAGUCCACGCCGUAAACGUUGGCGCUAGGAUGGUGGGGACCUUUCCACGGUUUCCGUGUCGUAGCUAACGCAUUAAGCGCCCCGCCUGGGGAGUACGGCCGCAAGGCUAAAACUCAAAGGAAUUGACGGGGGCCCGCACAAGCGGCGGAGCAUGCGGAUUAAUUCGAUGCAACGCGAAGAACCUUACCAAGGCUUGACAUACACGAGAACGGGCCAGAAAUGGUCAACUCUUUGGACACUCGUGAACAGGUGGUGCAUGGUUGUCGUCAGCUCGUGUCGUGAGAUGUUGGGUUAAGUCCCGCAACGAGCGCAACCCUCGUCGCAUGUUGCCAGCACGUUAUGGUGGGGACUCAUGUGAGACUGCCGGGGUCAACUCGGAGGAAGGUGGGGAUGACGUCAAAUCAUCAUGCCCCUUAUGUCUUGGGCUUCACGCAUGCUACAAUGGCCGGUACAAAGGGCUGCGAUGUCGUAAGGCGGAGCGAAUCCCAAAAAGCCGGUCUCAGUUCGGAUUGAGGU